rnacentral:misc_RNA from 1 species
GAUGAAGAACGUAGCGAAAUGCGAUACGUAAUGUGAAUUGCAGAAUUCAGUGAAUCAUCGAGUCUUUGAACGCACAUUGCGCCCCUUGGUAUUCCAUGGGGCAUGCCUGUUCGAGCGUCAUCUACACCCUCAAGCUCUGCUUGGUGUUGGGCGUCUGUCCCGCCUCUGCGCGCGGACUCGCCCCAAAUUCAUUGGCAGCGGUCCUUGCCUCCUCUCGCGCAGCACAUUGCGCUUCUCGAGGUGCGCGGCCCGCGUCCACGAAGCAACAUUACCGUCUUUGACCUCGGAUCAGGUAGGGAUACCCGCUGAACUUAAGCAUAUCAAUAAGCGGAGGA